rnacentral:rRNA from 1 species
CGGAUGAGUGGAGCUUGCUCCAUGAUUCAGCGGCGGACGGGUGAGUAAUGCCUAGGAAUCUGCCUGGUAGUGGGGGACAACGUUUCGAAAGGAACGCUAAUACCGCAUACGUCCUACGGGAGAAAGUGGGGGAUCUUCGGACCUCACGCUAUCAGAUGAGCCUAGGUCGGAUUAGCUAGUUGGUGAGGUAAAGGCUCACCAAGGCGACGAUCCGUAACUGGUCUGAGAGGAUGAUCAGUCACACUGGAACUGAGACACGGUCCAGACUCCUACGGGAGGCAGCAGUGGGGAAUAUUGGACAAUGGGCGAAAGCCUGAUCCAGCCAUGCCGCGUGUGUGAAGAAGGUCUUCGGAUUGUAAAGCACUUUAAGUUGGGAGGAAGGGCAGUAAGUUAAUACCUUGCUGUUUUGACGUUACCAACAGAAUAAGCACCGGCUAACUUCGUGCCAGCAGCCGCGGUAAUACGAAGGGUGCAAGCGUUAAUCGGAAUUACUGGGCGUAAAGCGCGCGUAGGUGGUUCGUUAAGUUGGAUGUGAAAGCCCCGGGCUCAACCUGGGAACUGCAUCCAAAACUGGCGAGCUAGAGUAUGGCAGAGGGUGGUGGAAUUUCCUGUGUAGCGGUGAAAUGCGUAGAUAUAGGAAGGAACACCAGUGGCGAAGGCGACCACCUGGGCUAAUACUGACACUGAGGUGCGAAAGCGUGGGGAGCAACAGGAUUAGAUACCCUGGUAGUCCACGCCGUAAACGAUGUCGACUAGCCGUUGGGAUCCUUGAG